rnacentral:tRNA from 1 species
GGGAAUGUAGCUCAGUGGUAGAGUAUAUAUCUAGCAUAUGCCAGGCCCUGAGUUCAAUGCUUAACGCUUCCC